rnacentral:rRNA from 1 species
UACGUAGGUGGCAAGCGUUGUCCGGAUUUACUGGGCGUAAAGCGUGUGUAGGCGGCUUUGCAAGUCGGGUGUGAAAGCCCUCGGCUCAACCGAGGAAGUGCGCCCGAAACUGCAUUGCUUGAGUACCGGAGAGGGUCGCGGAAUUCCCCAAGUAGAGGUGAAAUUCGUAGAUAUGGGGAGGAACACCGGUGGCGAAGGCGGCGACCUGGACGGAUACUGACGCUGAGACGCGAAAGCGUGGGUAGCAAACAGG